GACGAACGCUGGCGGCGUGCUUAACACAUGCAAGUCGAACGGAAAGGCCUGCUUUCCCUUGUGGAUUGCGGGUACUCGAGUGGCGAACGGGUGAGUAACACGUGAGUGAUCUGCCCCCAACUUGGGUAUAAGCCUGGGAAACUGGGUCUAAUUCCCGAUAGGACUGCAGGGUGGUGCCUGUGGUGGAAAACGAUUUUCUAGUGGUUGGGGAUGAGCUCGCGGCCUAUCAGCUUGUUGGUGGGGUAAUGGCCUACCAAGGCGGCGACGGGUAGCCGGCCUGAGAGGGUGGACGGCCACAUUGGGACUGAGAUACGGCCCAGACUCCUACGGGAGGCAGCCGUGGGGAAUAUUGCACAAUGGGCGGAAGCCUGAUGCAGCGACGCCGCGUGGGGGAUGACGGCCUUCGGGUUGUAAACUCCUUUCGACCGCGAGGAAGCCACCUGGUUGGAAGGGUGGUGACGGUAGUGGUAGAAGAAGCACCGGCUAACUACGUG
rnacentral:rRNA from 1 species